UACGUAGGGGGCAAGCGUUGUCCGGAGUUACUGGGCGUAAAGGGCGUGUAGGUGGUUUCGUAAGUCUGGCGUGAAAUUUCUCGGCUUAACCGAGGCAGGUCGUCGGAUACUGCGGAACUUGAGGACGGUAGAGGCGUGUGGAAUUCCGGGUGUAGUGGUGAAAUGCGUAGAGAUCCGGAGGAACACCAGUGGCGAAGGCGACGCGCUGGGCCGUACCUGACACUGAUGCGCGACAGCAUGGGGAGCAAACAGG
rnacentral:rRNA from 1 species